AGUUUCCACAGCACAGCACAAGCUGCUCAGAAAAAAACAUGCUGAAAUGAUAACCUCCAAGUUCUCAAUGCGCAAAACGAGCCCUUAGAAACUGCAGAAUGAAAAAUCACUGAAGGAAGAGGAUGGAUGCAAAGAUGAGAACUGAAAACAAAAGCUGAGAUUGGCAUGAUGCCUGCCCAGGGGCGUGUACCUCUCCGCAGAGAGCUGAAGAGAUCUGGGAUAGAAACUGCUCCAUUUUUCUGCACAACCCUUACACCAUCUGACAGAUUAUUUCUCAUUAUUACUAAAUUUGCUCUCACUGUCUGUCUCUCCUUCUCCCACUAGAAAUGAGGUCCAUGCAGUGGGGCCUUCCCUGGGUUUGGUUGUAAAUGUGGCCCUACCACCAAGAAGACUUUCCAGUUCACAGAAAAGACUUGGUAUUUGCCAAACGAACCAUGAAUAAGCUCCCUUUUCUUCAAGUGCAUCAACAAGCAAAUGCACCACAGAAACAGCAUGCUCAUCGAGAGAUUCAGCUGACCCUAAACUUUGCAUUGACUCACACUGCUGGCGUGAGAUCCAGAGACACCAAGCAGCCAGCCUUCUACGGAGGGGCCUCACCUGGCUUCGUUUGACUUUUCUGCUCUGGAAACACCUGUCGGAAUUCAAGGGUGAGGUAGCCACCAGCAGCUGUAAAAAAACUGAGGCUCACCAGGAAAAGCAACCCACUAAGGAGACAGUCUCAGAACACGCUGUAAGAUAGGCAGCCUUUCGGGAAACACCGGCCACUGUUCCUGAUGGGCUCUGAUCCUGUAGUGAGGAUGUGGAAUCCAGCAUGAAAGCUUUUUACAGCGGGAACUCACUCUCCAUAGGCGAAGCUGCGAUCUCCAUCAUUUUCUCUCCAUCCUCUGUGCAUGGCGGCAUCUGCUGCUCAGAAGCCGCCUCUCCUGAUCUUGCUGGAAUGAAAGAACCCAACUCCUUUUGUCGUCAACCCAAAAUAAGAGAAGAGAACAGCCACAGGUGGUGGUCAUGUUCCUUCCAACUCCACCAGGAGGCCAGGCCCACCAGUGGGUGCUAGGAAAAUUCACAGCGCCAACAGUAAACAUAACAUACCUUCCUGAUGGAAUUUCUUUUUGUGAUUCCCUUGUGUUUUAAAUUCUCCUGUUUGUAUUAAUUAUACUUGACCAACUUUCUAAUAUAAAAAGUUUAUAUCAUGCUCAGAAAUAAAUUAUUAAUGAUUACCAAAUAAAGCAAAUUACUAUUGUAUUUUCUAGGUAAGCAUGGAGUAUGUAAAUGCUAUUAUUAUCAUUACCCAAAUUAUUAACUAAGAUAACGAAGGCUUUAUUCUUGAGUUUUAAAUUCCUGGUUGAACAAACCUUGUUAUAUUUGACACUUCCUGUGAAGGCUUAAGAAAACACAGGACUGAGAAAGUGAUGUCUGUGGUCAUCAAGG
rnacentral:lncRNA from 1 species